UAAAAUCAUUUAAGAUGUGUUAUUACUGAGAGAAUUAAUACAAGCCCACACAGGAAAGGUGCUGCAGUUUUGCAAUGGCAAAGUUUAAUUGCAAAUGCUCAUUUCUAGCUAAACACCAGGUGAAGACUGAUCAAUCCUGGUCCCUACAAACUGCAGAUGAGAUUGGAAUUCAGAUACAAUAAGGUCUCUGAGAACCCAAGAUGACCCUGAGUGAGCUCCUGAUCCUCCUGCGUCUGGCUCCUCAGAGCUGGGAUUACGAGUCCGUGGCAGCACACUUGGUUUUAUUCAUGCUGAGGUGGAACCCAGUGCUAUGUACUGGCUGACUAUUCUACCUAACACAGGCACACCCUCGUGAAUUUAUGGUUUGACUUAAGUACCAGAAAAGAGUCAGAAGUUACACUACUGUAUU